rnacentral:rRNA from 1 species
UACAGGGGGGGCAAGCGUUGUUCGGAAUUACUGGGCGUAAAGGGUCUGUAGGUGGCCAACUAAGUCAGACGUGAAAUCCCUCAGCUUAACUGGGGAACUGCGUCUGAUACUGGAUGGCUGGAGUGUGGGAGAGGGAUGCGGAAUUCCAGGUGUAGCGGUGAAAUGCGUAGAUAUCUGGAGGAACACCGGUGGCGAAGGCGGCAUUCUGGACCGAAACUGACGCUGAGGCGCGAAAGCCAGGGGAGCAAACGGG